rnacentral:rRNA from 1 species
UACGUAGGGUCCGAGCGUUGUCCGGAAUUACUGGGCGUAAAGAGCUCGUAGGUGGUUUGUCGCGUUGUUCGUGAAAACUCACAGCUUAACUGUGGGCGUGCGGGCGAUACGGGCAGACUUGAGUACUGCAGGGGAGACUGGAAUUCCUGGUGUAGCGGUGAAAUGCGCAGAUAUCAGGAGGAACACCGGUGGCGAAGGCGGGUCUCUGGGCCGAUACUGACGCUGAGGAGCGAAAGCGUGGGGAGCGAACAGG